UACAUGGGGUGCAAACGUUGCUCGGAAUCAUUGGGCGUAAAGCGCGCGUAGGCGGUUACUUAUGUCGGAUGUGAAAGCCCUCGGCUUAACUGAGGAAGUGCAUUCGAAACUGGGUAGCUAGAGUACUAAAGAGGGUCGCGGAAUUCCCGGUGUAGAGGUGAAAUUCGUAGAUAUCGGGAGGAACACCGGUGGCGAAGGCGGAUCUCUGGGCCUGUCCUGACGCUGAGGCGCGAAAGCUAGGGGAGCGAACAGG
rnacentral:rRNA from 1 species